ensembl:lncRNA FSIP2-AS1 FSIP2 antisense RNA 1
UACUAUUCUUUGGGUCAUGUUUUUCAACUCAAUUUCAGUGUUAUGCUUUGGGCUGAAAAUCUUUGACAAAAGUCUGGCAACAAUCUCCCUUACAAAUGAAUCAAGGUGAAUAUCUAAAGGUGAUUGCUUCUGAGGUCUGUGUGACUCUAUCACUUCACUCAGAACCUGUGUAACAAUAGUAGACACUGGAUCCAGUGGAGUCCUUGGAUGACAUAAAACCUCUCCACUCAAAAAUGGUUGAAGAUGAUUUUCGAUAAUCUCUUGGAUGAUAAAGCUGGCUAUUUGGUCAAUCAUAAUUGGGCUUCGGCUUACUAUACUUUUUUGUAUUGAAACAAGAGAGUCAGACAUUUGCAAAAUAUUACAAUAUACAGAAUCCACCAUCUUUUGGAGGUUUUUUCCAGUAUAUAGAUAUUGAUUAUCAUAUAUAGUGAACCAGAUUUUAUGUUUUGAAAUGGCUGACAUAACCUUAUUUAUUAUACAAGUGGACAUUUCAUUAAAAUCAGAACUCAUUAAAUAUUUUUUUCCUAAAGAGGAACAUGUAAUGGGUGGAGGAAUUAGCUGAGAUAAAAGCCUUCUUAUGACAUCUUCUAAAAAUGAAUGUGAUAACAUGGUACUAUAGUCUGAUGAAGACCUGGGUAGAGAAGUAAAUUCUGUUAGGUUACUUUGAAGCUUUUGCAAUAUAAUUUCAGGUUUGAGAGGGUAAUAUGAAUGGGGUAUGAGAUGUUCCUUGAAGCAAGAUGGCAGUUUGUAGUCUAAAAUCUCUAACAAUAUGCCAUUUGUUAUUUGUUCUGCUAUUGAGGCAUUGUCGUAUACCGGAUUAUUACCACAGGCCACUUUUAAUUCAUACUGCUGUAAAACAUCAUAAUAAACUGAGUCAACAAUUUUGCUAACAGUUUCUGUAUGAACUGGUGGAAAACACAGCCUUUCUUCAGCAUUCCGUAGAACAGUGACUUGAGCAUUAUUAAAUUCAUUCACUACAUUGUUGACAAAUAAUGUAUUCAUCUCAUUGAGCCAGGACACAGUGAUGUUUUUAUUUUUGCCCCACAAUGACAUAGAGAGAUUAAAAAACAAUUCUGAAAUUAUUCCUUCCAAAAAUGUGGCUGAAUAAACACCAGCAUAUAUACCUUCCUGAUGUAGCUUAUUAUGAAUGGCUACCUUAUCCAUUUCCUUUGUUCUCUGUCUUUCAAAAGGUGACACAGAAGAGGAUUUUACUGCACAAUGCUUGUUAAAUGGUGCUUGUAUUUUGGAGCUAACCACACUGGGAUUAUUCAGGGAUACUGUCAAAGAAUUACUAUCAUAGCUCCUGAGUUCUAAAGAACUUUUACUCUGUCCUAAUUCUAUUAAUUCUGACUUUCUUGCUUUUAUGAAACUAGACUGUAUUUCUCUUGUUCUGUAGUUCAAAUGCUUAUUUGCAAAAGGUAGACUUUCCGGAGCUUGUUGUAUGCUGUGAGAUAAUUUGUCCAUCAAUGAUUUAACCAAGCUGUGGGAAAUAAUAGUAAGCAUAGAGUCUGAUGUCAAUAAGUCUUGAUCAAUUUCUGCCACAUUCUCCAAAAGGUCUGACAUGUAAUCUACUUGAAGGCAUUCACAGUCCAUUCCUCCCUUACGAUAAUCAGAUUUUCCAUCUUCUACACUUUGAAGCAUUUUUAAAAGUUGACAUUCUUCUGCUGAUGUUUCCUCUGAAACAGACCCUUUAUCAGGAAAAGCAGUGCUUGUGCAUUCUUCCAAAAGUAUUCUGAUAAGUUUCUCACAUACAACAUUGAGAAGAAAAACUGAUUUUGAGGAGAGCUGUAGGUUAUUGGUAAGUAUGCUAUUAGGUUGCUCAUUAUUCGAGGAGUAGAAAUAUGUUCUUUGUAUUUUACCAGAAUCCAUACCCGUAUCUAGGCAUUCAUCUGGUGAAAAUAAAUCUGAAACAAUAUUAAAAACUUUAUUGACUACUUCUUUGGAUUCACUUGUUUUUAGGUUACCAACCAGGCUGUUUAACUUACAUGCAAGAUAACUUAACUUAUUUUUUUGAAAAAGUUGACCAAUUUGUUGAGUAGAAAAUUGCCAGUCUCUGGGGCUUGCCUGUCUAUUGAUUUUGUUGCAAAGGGGUACACUAUUAUUUCUAUGCAUAGAAAAUGAUUUGUUUCUUACAUUGCUUUCAAAGUGAUAAUCUACUUCUAUUUCUUUGGACAGUACAUGAAUCACUCCUACUAAGAGAUCCUGAAAGAGGUCAUCAAAGCCACCAGAAACUAUUCCUGGACAGAGGAGGUUUUAUAGGUGUGGUUGGUCUCCUUACUGACGUGUCAACUACAAAUGCACAGGGUUCUGCCUGAAAUGUUUUAGUUGUUGCAGAUGUGUAGCUUCUAUAUGUAAAGUCUUCACUGCACGUGCUACAGAAACUUGAACUAUCUGAAGAGAGGAUGGAGUCAUCAGAUACUGGGAACAAGAAGACUAAGCAAUAAGUGAGAAAAGAAAUGAUGGAAUAGAUGUGAGGCUUCCACAGCAAACUCCUGUAAAACCUGCAGUUAAACCUGAGCAAGAGGAAUGUGACAUAUGUGUCUUUGCUCUUUAUUUGGAUCUGUGUGUAUGCUCUUGGAGCAGUGGCGAAGAAGCUCCAGGGUAAUCUAAAAACCAAAAUAAAUGCCUUGAGAUCUUUUCUGGGAAUGAAAAAAUACAAAGACAAGCUAAGAAGCUGGAGCAGGAAAUUGACUUCAAACUCUGCUUGGAGAAUCACCAGCUGCAAAACUGUAUGGGGCAAAUUUCUCAUAAGAGUAUAGAGGAUGUGACACUGUACAGAGUUCACACUCAUGACUCAAUGAUGAAAUGGAAACCAGGAAGACCUGAUUAUGCAUGUCUGUGAAACUCACCCAUGCCAUCUGGAAAGGAAAAAGUUAAGUUGCAUUUCUGCAAUACAUUCUCUCCCUUCCCUGAGCUGCUCCUGGAAUAUAAAGAAAGCAAGUGAGUUGAACUAAUCCUCUUAUAAACAUACUAAUGAUAAAUCUCCCAGUAAAACAACAACAAUAACAAUAAAGGUCUUCUGCUAACAAAAGAGUCUUUUCCU